AGUGAACGCUGGCGGUAGGCCUAACACAUGCAAGUCGAACGACGGCACAGUAAUAGCUUUCUCGUACGGGUUGCGAGGGGUGGGCGGGGGAGGAGUACAUCGGAAGCUACUUUUUCGCGGUGGACAACGGGGGGAAAGUUACGCUAAUACCGCAUACGAGCUACGGGGGAAAGCAGGAGAUCUUCUGACCUGACGCGAUUCGAUGAGACAAUGUCGGAUUAGAUAGUUGGCGGGGGAAAGGCACACCAAGGCGACGAACCGUAGCUGGUAUGAGAGGAUGAAUCGCUAGCCUGGAACUGAGAAACGGUCCAGACUCCUACAGGAGGAAGCAGUCGGGAAUCUUGGAGGAUGGGGGAAAGCCUGAUACAGCACUAUCGCGUGGGUGAAGAAGGCGUUCGGGUUGGAAAGCCAUUUUGUUGGGAAAGAAAAGCAGCAGGUUAAGCACCCGAUGUUCUGACGGUACCCAACUAAUAAGCACCGGCUAACUUCGUG
rnacentral:rRNA from 1 species